GUAGCACAGAGAGCUUGCUCUCGGGUGACGAGUGGCGGACGGGUGAGUAAUGUCUGGGAAACUGCCUGAUGGAGGGGGAUAACUACUGGAAACGGUAGCUAAUACCGCAUAACGUCGCAAGACCAAAGAGGGGGACCUUCGGGCCUCUUGCCAUCAGAUGUGCCCAGAUGGGAUUAGCUAGUAGGUGGGGUAACGGCUCACCUAGGCGACGAUCCCUAGCUGGUCUGAGAGGAUGACCAGCCACACUGGAACUGAGACACGGUCCAGACUCCUACGGGAGGCAGCAGUGGGGAAUAUUGCACAAUGGGCGCAAGCCUGAUGCAGCCAUGCCGCGUGUAUGAAGAAGGCCUUCGGGUUGUAAAGUACUUUCAGCGGGGAGGAAGGUGUUGCGGUUAAUAACCGCAGCAAUUGACGUUACCCGCAGAAGAAGCACCGGCUAACUCCGUGCCAGCAGCCGCGGUAAUACGGAGGGUGCAAGCGUUAAUCGGAAUUACUGGGCGUAAAGCGCACGCAGGCGGUCUGUCAAGUCGGAUGUGAAAUCCCCGGGCUCAACCUGGGAACUGCAUUCGAAACUGGCAGGCUAGAGUCUUGUAGAGGGGGGUAGAAUUCCAGGUGUAGCGGUGAAAUGCGUAGAGAUCUGGAGGAAUACCGGUGGCGAAGGCGGCCCCCUGGACAAAGACUGAC
rnacentral:rRNA from 1 species